UAUUUAGGCAAAAACACUGGUGAAGUAGGU
rnacentral:piRNA from 1 species